rnacentral:lncRNA from 1 species
CAUGAUCAACACAAAAUACAUAUGAGAACUAGAUACAUAUCCUAGGCUCUAAACAGAAAUACUAAUAUCAGCCUAGGGAGUAUCUAAUGGCUGUGAUCUAGUCCUUAUCCUCCUAGUAUAAGUGGCGAGGGGAGGUCGAGCCUGAUGAGACUGAGUCUGGCGUGGAGCUCGGUGAGCUGGAUGACUCUGUGCCGAAAUCUCUGACUCAGCUGCCUGUGGCACAGAUGGUCCAUGAACCUCUCUCUCUCCGUAGAGCUCCUAUCUGCUC